rnacentral:rRNA from 1 species
UAAGGCUCCCAGUAGACGACUGGGUUGAUAGGCCAGAUGUGGAAGCCCGGCAACGGGUGGAGCUGACUGGUACUAAUAGGCCGAGGGCUUGUCCUC